GGCCCACCCGCGAGCAGCGGGGAAGGCGGGGACCCGGGCCCCGCGGGCCUGCAGCGCCCCCGCACCCGGUUCCACGCGCCCAGGGCCGCCCCCGCGGAGAGAGGGGGCGCGAGGGGCGCGCCUCUCGCUCGGACACCCUCUCCCAGCUCGCGCCCCAGGUAACUUAAACCCAAUUAUAAAUGGCUUUGGCUAUAAAGUGUUCUUGAAUGAAAACGUUUAGGAAGUAGGCCUGGAUUCAGAUGCUUCAGAGGCUCAAAGGUUUUCUAAUUGUUUAUGGAGAAGAUUGAUCUUCACAAGCUAGUUUUUUCAUAGGCAAAAGCAAAAGUCUCUUCCUGUGUUAUUAAGUGAAAAUGGCUGAUUAUAAAAAGGGGCUUACAAACAAUAUUUAACAAAUCUUCAUCAAGUCCCUACUCUGUGGCAGGCCCUGGGUCAGGAGGUUGCCGAUUCCAGGAAGAAUCAGACCUUAUCCCUGCCCUUGAGUCUCAAGAAGAGGAAAGGAAAACAAAUAAGCAUAGUACAGUGUGAAAAGUGGGACUGUGGUCAAAUUUCAGUCUGCAAACUCAGAAUGGAUGAAAUAUGAAAGACUGACAACAUCAAGUUGUCAAGUAGGACAGGAUGUGGAACCACUGGAACUCAUACGUGACUGAUGGGAAUGCAAAAUGAUACCGAUCCCUUGGAAAACUCCUUGGCAACUUUAAUAAACAUAAAUCUACCCUAUGAUCCAGAAAUUCCACUCUGAGUCACGUCUCCAAGAGCAAUGAAAAUAUAUACCCACAAAAGACUGCACAUAAAUCAGAACAGCAUUGUUGAUAAUAGCCCAAACUGGAAACAACCUAAAUAUUCACCAAUAGAAGCCUGAAUAAAUUCAUACUGUGGGAUACUCUACAGCAAUGAGGUAGAUGAACUAUUACUGCCUACAACAACAUGAAAGAAAAUCAUGAAAGAUAGUGUGGCUUCCACUUUGGUCUCUUAUAUCACCUACUGGGGGAAGCCAGCUGCCAUGUUGUGAGGACACUCAAGAAGCUCUGUGGAGAGGCUCUUUUGAAGGAGAACCAAUGCCUCCCACCAACAGCCAGCAUCAACUUGGGACAUGUGAGUGAACCAAUUGGAAGUGGAUCCUCCAGCCAAGUCAAGCCUUCAGAUGACUGAAGCCCCAGCCUCAUGAGAGAUAGCAGGCUAAAACUGCCCAGCUAAGCUGCUCCUGAAAUCCUGACCCCCCAAAUUAUAAAAGACAAUAAAUUAUUAUUGUUGUUUUAAGCCACUACAUGUUGGGGUGAUUCAUUAUGCAGCAACAGAUAAUAAAUACAUCACCCUUGUAUUCAUUACUGACGUUUAUUGGGAGCAUAGUGUGUGAUUUUUCAUUUAACCCUUCCAGUAAUGCUGUGAGAUAGGUAAGUUUAUUAUCCCCAUUUUACAGACAAAGAAACUGAGGUUCAGAAUGAGUGAAGUCUCUUCCCUGCAGAGUCCCUGACCUUAAGGAUUUUAUGGUCAGAUCUGAGAGACAGAAGCUCAAAAACCUAUGACUCUAGGCAAAAUAUGGCCCUGGGAUCCCAGGAUGGGGAGAGGAAUUUUGGAUUCUGGCUUCUACUUGGGCCUCAUAGCUUGGGAUGACAGAGGGUACACUCCAAAGGCAACAAACACCUUCCCUGCCCUUGAGCACCUGCUUAAUCAAGGGGAGAAAGUUCAGAUGCUUAUGCAUAAUGUGUGGUAUUUCUCUGCACAGAAACACACACGGGCCUGUACAGUAAUAAUGAAAAGCAACAACCCAUCUUAAGGGCUUGGCACUUUGCACUUACAAAGCCUUAUACAUCCCUAAUUCCAUGGAAUCACACCUGGCAGGUAAGCGUGGCCCUGUACACUUUACAGAUGGGGACACUGAGGUCAGGGAAGUUGUGUGAUUCUUGCAGAGCCAAGCAGCCUAGAAGUGGCAGAGUUCAGGUAAAACCCAGUAACUGGGUGUUUUACAAGUGCUAAGGGUAUGACAGGAGGUAGGCAGGGCUCCUCUGAGGGAGGUUUCAGGAAGAGGUCACCCGCGAGCAGGGUUCUGAGAAUGGGGAAGUGGCUUCGGGGAGAGGAUGGUGCCUGGGAGGGUUUGAGAGGAAACAGAGUGAGUCCCUAGGGGCUCCCAGGGUGUACGAGGGCAAAGAGGUGAACAUAGCUGGAGUGGAAAGAAUGAGAAAGCCUGGGUGUGUGGAAGAGCCUUGGUGUGUUAGGUGGAAUUGCAGCUGGAGGGUGUGUGCAGAAUGAGAGGUCUUGGUAUUGGGGCCAAAGUCAACUGCCACGCCUAAGGAGGGAGGAAGGCGCUUAUUUUGCUUCUUGGGUGAAAAUCAUUCCUGUGAUUUAGUUCUCCUUGGGGGAGGGGCGGGGUUUCAUCCAGCCUUAGCAAAUGCAUUCAAUCUUCACUACUUCUCUCUGUCAGAUGGGGUGGAUAGAGGUCCAAAUGUGGGCAGAAGCUUUUAUGUCCCAUCGCAGGGCAGCUAAGAACAGCUGCGCGGGUCGUUCACUGUACAUGGGCACUAGGCCAAAAGGGACUGAAAUCCGGACGGCCCUUUGUUUACUAAGCCAUGUGCCUGCAAGGCUGCACCUGCCCAGAAGGAAUGCUUCCUAUUUCUUUUCUUUAAAAAAAAAUUUUUUUUAUGAGCUAAAAUUCACAUAACAUAGAAUCUACCAUUUAAACCACUUUAAAGUAUAAAGUUCAGUGCUUUUAGUAUAGUCACAAUGUUGUGCAACCAUCACCACUAGCAGUUUUCGGAACAUUUCCAUCAUCCCAAAAAACAACUCCAUAACUCCUAAUUCCCCCCCUUUCCCCAUCUCUUGGCGACCAUGAAUCUGAACUUUCAUAUGAAUGGAGUUCUAUAAUUUGCUGUCUUCUGUGACUGUCUUCUUUCAUUUGGCAUUAAAACUUUUCAAGUUUUACCCAUGUUGUGGUAUGUGUCUGUACUUCAUUCCUUUUUAUGGCUCGAUAAUAUCGCAUUGUGUGAAUAUUCCACAAUUUGUGUAUCCCUUCAUGAGUUGAUGGACAUAUGGGUUAUAUCCACUGGCUGUUAAGAACAGGCGGGUCACGGUGGCUCACGCCUGAAAUCCCAGCACUUUGGGAGGCUGAGGUGGGCGGAUCACCUGAGGUCAGGAGUUCUAGAUCAGCUUUGCCAACACGGUGAAACCUUGUCUCUACCAAAUAUAUAAAAAUU
rnacentral:lncRNA from 10 species